rnacentral:rRNA from 1 species
GACGUAGGGUGCAAGCGUUGUCCGGAUUUACUGGGCGUAAAGAGCGCGUAGGCGGUCUGUUAAGUGAGAAGUGAAAGCUCUGGGCUCAACCCAAAAAUUGCUUUUCAUACUGGCAGACUGGAGUGAUGCAGAGGUUUGUGGAAUUCCUGGUGUAGCGGUGAAAUGCGCAGAUAUCAGGAAGAACACCCGUGGCGAAAGCGGCUCUCUGGAACGGUACUGACGCUGAGACGCGAAAGCGUGGGGAGCGAACAGG